rnacentral:lncRNA from 1 species
CCUGUUCCUCUGAGAUUAUGCUCGAUAACACUUCAACCAAUAUUUCAUGAAUGACCUGCGAGAAAAUCUUGUUAACAAAGUUGCUAGACUGAUUGGUCUCAUGUAUGCAAAGGUAGACACUUUUUUUUCUUUGGCAAUAAAACCAGGUUUGUGUGCGUCACACUCUUUGACAACUGUUGACCGCAGAAGAAAGACUUGACCAUGACGAAUAUAUCUUCUUCAAUGAUUUCCCAACAUGUUUGGUAAAAGGCUCCUGUGAAACCAUCAGUUCCACCUGCUGAGUCCCCAUUCAGCCCCAUAACUGCUCUCUUCACUUCCUCAUUAGAAGGCAAAGCCAUCAAUCUCUCAUGUUGAUCAUUAUCUAUCAUUGAAGGUACUUGAUUUAGAAUAUCAAAAGCAUUAGGGACUGUAUUCUCAGUAAAUUGAUCCUUGUAUAAUUUUACUGCUUCUUCUGCUAUUAAGUGAUCUUCUUCAAUCCAGUUACCAAAGCUAUUCUAGAUCCUCGAUAAUUUCAGUCUCUUUCUUCUCAUAUUAACUUGAGCAUGGAAGAAUUUUGUUUUUCUAUUGUCGUCUUUGAACCAUAACAUGCUUGCUUUUUGUCUCCAAAAAUCUUCUUUUAAAGCAAGAUAUUUAAGCAUUUCAGCUUGGACCUGUCAUAAUCUCUGUCUGUUUAUCUGUGUAGGAUUAAGUUCAAAUUGUCUUUCAUGAACUAGGACGACCUCCUCAAGACUUGCAAUCUUCUGGAAUAUGUCCCUAUAAGCUCUGCUCCAGGUAGAUAGUUCAUGUUUAAGUUUCUUUAACUUGUAGUUAAAAGUGUUGAAAGGGUUAGCACUAAAAUCAGCAUUCCAAUUCUCC